AAUAUUGCACAAUGGAGGAAACUCUGAUGCAGCGACGCCGCGUGAACGAUGAAGGNCUNNGGGUCNUNAAGUUCUGUCCUAGGNNNNNAUAAUGACGGUCCCCUAGGAGGAAGCCCCGGCUACCUACGUGCCAGCAGCCGCGGUAAUACGUAGGGGGCGAGCGUUGUCCGGAAUUAUUGGGCGUAAAGGGUUCGUAGGCGGUAAUUUAAGUCAGAUGUGAAAGGCGCAGGCUCAACCUGUGUAAGCAUUUGAAACUGGAUUACUUGAGUUAAGGAGAGGAAAGUGGAAUUCCUAGUGUAGCGGUGAAAUGCGUAGAUAUUAGGAGGAAUACCAGUGGCGAAGGCGACUUUCUGGACUUAUACUGACGCUGAGGAACGAAAGCGUGGGGAGCAAACAGG
rnacentral:rRNA from 1 species